rnacentral:misc_RNA from 1 species
AAGUCGUAACAAGGUCUCCGUUGGUGAACCAGCGGAGGGAUCAUUACCGAGUUUUCAACUCCCUAACCCUUAUGUGAACCUACCUAUUGUUGCUUCGGCGGACUCGCCCCAGCCGGACGCGGACUGGACCAGCGGCCGCCGGGGACCCUCAAACUCUUGUAUUAUCAGCAUCUUCUGAAUACGCCGCAAGGCAAAACAAAUAAAUCAAAACUUUCAACAACGGAUCUCUUGGCUCUG